rnacentral:rRNA from 1 species
UGGCUGGCCUAAAACGAGAGCCCACAGCGACAAGCUAUGACAAUGAUUGGUGGUGGACGAGGCCUUAAGUGGCCAAUGUUUGCAUCGUGCCGCACACACACGCUGUCGGGAAUUGCUCGUUGGACCCUAACUUGUGUUGAAAGCACAAAACCAUUGCGACCCCAGGUCAAGCAGGGCUACCUACUAAGUUUAAGCAUAUCAAUAAGCACUAUGGUAGACUCGGGUUGCUUGGGAAUGCAGCCUCAAGCAGACGGCAAAUUCCGUCCAAGGUUAAAUUCGGGCGAGAGACCGCUAGCGAACGAGUGCCGCGAGGGAAACAUGAAAGGAACUUUGAAAAGAGAGUCAAAGAGUGCUUGAAAUUUUUAGGAGGGAAGCGGAUGUAGGCCGGCAAUACGCCCCGGUCGGAUAUGGAACGGCCACAAGCCGAUCUGCGAAUCGGCUCGGGGCACAGACCGACGCAGACUGGGAGGGCGGCUGAACCCCGGUCCCCGGGAGUGUGGUCCACGCGAUUACGGAAGGCAGCGUACACUGUCACAGCAUGCCUCGACAUCUGCGUACUCCAGGCGUCAGCCUACAGGCCCCCCAUUCGGCCCGUCUUGAAACACGGACCAAGGAGUCCGACAUGUGUGCGAGUCAACGGGCGAGCAUGCGGCGCAAGGAAGCCAGUUGGUGGGAUCCCGUCACGAGUGCAUCACCGACCGACCUUGAUCUUCUUAGAAGGGUUCGAAUGAGAGCAUACUUGUUGGGACCCAAAAGAUGGUGAACUAUGCCUGAGCGGGGGGAAGCCAGAGGAAACUCGGGUGGAGGCCCAAAGCAAUACUGACGUGCAAAUCGUUCGUCUAACUUGGGUAUAGGGGCGAAAGACUAAUCGAACCGUCUAGUAGCUGCUUCCCUCCGCAGUUUCCGUCAGGAUAGUUGGCGCUCAUACACAAGUUCUAUCAGAUAAAGCCAAUGAUUAGAGGCAUCGGGGGUGCAAUGCCCUCGGCCUAUUCUCAAGCUUUAAACAGGUAGGAUGGCACAACUGCUUUUUUGAGCCGCACCAAGGAAUUAAGAGCUCCAAGUAGGCCAUUUUUGGUGAGCAGAACUGGCGAUGAGGGAUGAACCGGAAGCCAGGUUACGAUGCCCCACUGUGUGCUAUCCUAGAUCCCACAAAGGGUGUUAGUCGAUUAAGACAGCAGUAGAGUGGUCAUGGAAGUCAAAAUCUACUAAGGAGUAUGUAACAACUUACCUGGCGAAUCAACUAGCCCCGAAAAUAGAUGGCGUUGAAGCGCAUGGCCUAUACCCGACCGUCAGGGCAAGUGCCAGGCCUCGAUGAGUAGGAGGGCGCGGCAGUCACUGUAAAACCUGUGGCGCGAGCCAGGGCGGAGCGACCGUUGGUACAGAUCUUGGUGGUAGCAGCAAAUAUUCAAGUAAGAACUUUGAAGCCCGAAGAGGGGAAAGUUCCAUGUGAACAGCAGUUACACAUGGGUUAAUCGAUCCUAAGCGACGGGGGAAGCUCGUCUGACAGUGUGUUUCGUGCGAGCUUUGAAAAGGAAUCGAGUUAAAAUUUUCGAACUAGGACACGGCGGUUAAUGCCAACGCAGGGAGUCUGGAGACGUCGGCGGAGGCCUCGAGAAGAGUUAUCUUUUAUGUUUAACAGCCUACCUACCCUGGAAACGACUUAGUCAGAGGUAGGGUCCAGCGGCUGGAAGAGCAACGCACGUGGCGUGGUGUUUGGUGCACCCCCGGCGGCCCUUGAAAAUCCGGAGGACCGAGUGCCGACCACACCGGCUCAUACUCAUAACCGCAUCAGGUCUCCAAGGUGAACAACCUCUGGUCGACGGAACAAUGUAGGCAAGGGAAGUCGGUAAAAUCGAUCCAUAACUUCGGGAAAAGGAUUGGCUCUGAGGGCUGGGCAAGGGGGUCCCAGUCCCGAACCCGUCGGCUAUCGGGAGACUGCUCAAGCUGCUCGCACAGCGAGAGAGGGUCGCCACAUGCCAACCGAGGGACGGAAUGAGAACGGGCCCUUUAGGGGCCCUUCCUGGGCGUCGAUCAGUCAACUCAUAACUGGUAUGGACAAGGGAAAUCCGACUGUUUAAUUAAAACAAAGCAUUGCGAUGGUCAUUGAGAAUGUUAACGCUAUGUGACUUCUGCUUAGUGCUCUAAAUGUCAAAGUGAAGACAUGCAACCAAGCGUAGGUAAACGGUGGGAGUAAUUAUGACUCUCUUAAAGUAGCCAAAUGCCUUGUCAUCUAAUUAGUGAUGCGUAUACUAUCCAACGAAACCACAGCCAAGGGAACGGGCUUGGCAGAAUCAGCGAGGAAGGAAGACCCUAUAGAGCUUGACUCUAGUCCGACUUUGCGAAAUGGCUUGAGAGGUGUAGCAUAAGUGGGAGCUUCAACGUAAGUGAAAUAGCACUACUUUUAAGGUUAGUUUACGUACUCCAUGAGCCGGAGGGGGGACAUCACCUCUUUUUUUGGACCUAGGGCUCACCUUACAGGCGGAUCCAGUCAGAGGACAUUGUUAGGUGGGGAGUUUGGGCGGUGCGGCACAUCUGUUAAAAGAUAACACAGGUCUCCUAAGAUGAGCUCAAUGAGAGCAAAAAUCUCAUAUGGAACAGAAGGAUAAAAGCUCAUUUGAUUCUGAUUUUUAGUACGAAUAUGAAACGUGAAAGCAUGGCUUCACGAUCCUUUAGACCUUUAGAAUUUGAAGCUAGAGGUCAGAAAAUUUACCACAGGGAUAACUAGCAUGUGGCAGCUAAGCGUUCAUAGCGACGUUGCUUUUUGAUCCUUCGAUGUUGGUCUUCCUAUCAUUGUGAAGCAGAAUUCACCAAGUGUUGGAUUGUUCACCCACCAAUAGGGAACGUGAGCUGGGUUUAGACCGUCGUGAGAUAGGUUAGUUUUACCCUACCGAUGACAGUGUCGCGAUGGUAAUUCAACCUAGUACGAUAGGAACCAUUGAUUCACACAAUUGCUCAUUGCAUUUGGUUGAAAAGCCAGCAGUGCGAAACGACCAUGCACCAGAUUAUGAUUGAAUGCCUCUAAGUUAAAAUCUGGGCCAGAAGUGAUGCAUGCACCCACUACCCAAUUGU